AUUGAACGCUGGCGGCAUGCCUUACACAUGCAAGUCGAACGGUAACGCGGGGCAACCUGGCGACGAGUGGCGAACGGGUGAGUAAUACAUCGGAACGUGCCCAGUAGUGGGGGAUAGCCCGGCGAAAGCCGGAUUAAUACCGCAUACGACCUACGGGUGAAAGCGGGGGAUCGCAAGACCUCGCGCUAUUGGAGCGGCCGAUGUCAGAUUAGGUAGUUGGUGGGGUAAAAGCCUACCAAGCCUUCGAUCUGUAGCUGGUCUGAGAGGACGACCAGCCACACUGGGACUGAGACACGGCCCAGACUCCUACGGGAGGCAGCAGUGGGGAAUUUUGGACAAUGGGGGCAACCCUGAUCCAGCCAUGCCGCGUGCGGGAAGAAGGCCUUUGGGUUGUAAACCGCUUUUGUCAGGGAAGAAACGCUUUGGGUUAAUACCCCGAGGUAAUGACGGUACCUGAAGAAUAAGCACCGGCUAACUACGUGCCAGCCGCCGCAGUAAAAC
rnacentral:rRNA from 1 species